rnacentral:rRNA from 1 species
UACGUAGGGUGCAAGCGUUGUCCGGAAUUAUUGGGCGUAAAGAGCUCGUAGGCGGUUUGUCGCGUCUGCCGUGAAAGUCCGGGGCUCAACUCCGGAUCUGCGGUGGGUACGGGCAGACUAGAGUGAUGUAGGGGAGACUGGAAUUCCUGGUGUAGCGGUGAAAUGCGUAGAUAUCGGGAGGAACACCCGCGGUGUAGACGGCCUGCUGGACCACGACUGACGCUGAGGCACGAAAGCGUGGGGAGCAAACAGG